UACGAAGGGGGCUAGCGUUGCUCGGAAUCACUGGGCGUAAAGCGCACGUAGGCGGCUUCUUAAGUCAGGGGUGAAAUCCUGGAGCUCAACUCCAGAACUGCCUUUGAUACUGAGGAGCUUGAGUCCGGGAGAGGUGAGUGGAACUGCGAGUGUAGAGGUGAAAUUCGUAGAUAUUCGCAAGAACACCAGUGGCGAAGGCGGCUCACUGGCC
rnacentral:rRNA from 1 species